rnacentral:sRNA from 1 species
UACUUGCAAUGGCUAAGCUUACACUGAG